CCUACGGGAGGCAGCAGUAGGGAAUCUUCCACAAUGGACGAAAGUCUGAUGGAGCAACGCCGCGUGAGCGAAGAAGGCCUUCGGGUCGUAAAGCUCUGUUGUCAGGGAAGAACAAGUAUCGGAGUAACUGCCGGUACCUUGACGGUACCUGACCAGAAAGCCACGGCUAACUACGUGCCAGCAGCCGCGGUAAUACGUAGGUGGCAAGCGUUGUCCGGAAUUAUUGGGCGUAAAGCGCGCGCAGGCGGUCCUUUAAGUCUGAUGUGAAAGCCCACGGCUCAACCGUGGAGGGUCAUUGGAAACUGGGGGACUUGAGUGCAGAAGAGGAAAGCGGAAUUCCACGUGUAGCGGUGAAAUGCGUAGAGAUGUGGAGGAACACCAGUGGCGAAGGCGGCUUUCUGGUCUGUAACUGACGCUGAGGCGCGAAAGCGUGGGGAGCAACCAGGAUUAGAUACCCUGGUAGUCCACGCCGUAAACGAUGAGUGCUAAGUGUUAGAGGGUUUCCGCCCUUUAGUGCUGCAGCUAACGCAUUAAGCACUCCGCCUGGGGAGUACGGCCGCAAGGCUGAAACUCAAAGGAAUUGACGGGGGCCCGCACAAGCGGUGGAGCAUGUGGUUUAAUUCGAAGCAACGCGAAGAACCUUAC
rnacentral:rRNA from 1 species